rnacentral:snoRNA from 1 species
AUCCCAUGGUGAGGACAGGUGGCGACAUAUUCCUAUAGACGUUCCCAUGCCUCGGGAAUGGACUCAUCCAUCGUCUGCUGGAAGCUUGAAAUUCACCCGCGUAGGGC